rnacentral:rRNA from 1 species
AGAGUUUGAUCAUGGCUCAGGAUGAACGCUGGCGGCGUGCUUAACACAUGCAAGUCGAACGGGGCUGGGAAACCAGCCCAGUGGCGAACGGGUGAGUAACACGUCGGUGACCUAUCCCGGAGCGGGGGACAACAGCUGGAAACGGCUGCUAAUACCCCGUAUGUUGAGUGCGAAUGUGCUCAAUGAAAGGCGUAAGCCGCUCCGGGCGGGGCCGGCGGCCUAUCAGGUAGUUGGUGAGGUAACGGCUCACCAAGCCGGCGACGGGUAGGGGGCGUGAGAGCGUGGCCCCCCACACGGGCACUGAGACACGGGCCCGACUCCCACGGGAGGCAGCAGUGAGGGAUAUUGGGCAAUGGGCGCAAGCCUGACCCAGCGACGCCGCGUGGGCGAAGACGGCCUUCGGGUUGUAAAGCCCUUUUCUAUCGGACGAGGAAGGACGGUACGGUAGGAAGAAGUCACGGCUAACUACGUGCCAGCAGCCGCGGUAAUAC